UACGUAGGGUGCGAGCGUUGUCCGGAAUUAUUGGGCGUAAAGAGCUCGUAGGCGGUUUGUUGCGUCGGCCGUGAAAACCUGCAGCUUAACUGUGGGCCUGCGGCCGAUACGGGCAGACUUGAGUUCGGUAGGGGAGACUGGAAUUCCUGGUGUAGCGGUGAAAUGCGUAGAUAUUGGGAGGAACACCAGUGGCGAAGGCGGCUCGCUGGACCGGUUCUGACGCUGAUGCGCGAAAGCGUGGGGAGCAAACGGG
rnacentral:rRNA from 1 species